GGAACGUGAGAACACCGCCCUGUAAAGGGGCGCGACGUCACCACGCGCUACUCUCAGCCUCUUUUCUCACACAGACGUCCCUUGGUUCUAGAGUGAGGGCUGAACUGGGCCUGGCAUGGCCAGAGGAUUUUUCCCCUCUCUCAUCCAGUCCUCAGAUGGGAGUCGGCUAGCUUCUCCAAGAAGACGAGGCAAAUCAAGAGAUCAGAGAACCGUUAGCAACAGCUGAAGCCAUCUGUAAAAGGCCUCAGCCAGGAGGCUGCCCUCUGCCCUGGUAUAGUCUAAUGCACCUGGUUGAACACCUUCUGUCAAAUGACAUGUUUAUUUGAGUUUCUAAGUCAAAAUAACUUCCCUCAAUGAUUUUUUGUUGUGUUUAACACAUUGGAAUAAAAAUUUUACACAUUUUUCAAUAUGUUAAAUUUAGCAAAUAAAUGGUAGUUGUGCAUUGAAGUGUGCCGAAAUAUCUAGAGGAUGUACAUAAUAUAUCAUUUGACAUUUGAUAGUCUUCGUUUAAUCCUCUAUUGAAAGGGGAUGGGAAUGGACUGCCUUAAGUUUUUUUGAUUUUCCUCUAUCCCUAAAUGUAGGUGAUCCACCAAGUCAUGUUUGGUGUCCAAAGUUUUAUUCUUUAGUUUUGCUGUGGAGCUGCAAAGCUAAUGUGAACUCUAAAACGAUAAGUAAAGACAGCAGUUCUAUAUAAAACCAUGAACACUCAAAGAACCAUUAGCAUGCUUAAUAGUUCUUUGCAUCAUGAAAAAGCAACUGUACCAUCCAAAUACUAUGUCUGUCUCUUUUGUCCUAAUGACAACAUUCACACAAAUAGUGCAUUUCUGAGCACUCAUUGAGAGUAAUGCAGUUCUGAGAUCUCUGUUCUCAAAGUCAACUCUUUGUUACAUACAAAGCCAAAAAUCUCAGUGUCUAGAAUAUGCUAUUCUAGAAUAUCCUAUGAAUCUGCAUUCACUAAAUUUGACUUAGUCUUUACUUGCCAUAUUCUGAAGGACAAAAAAGAAGAAUUUCUUGUUGUUUUGCUCAGAACUGGAUAUAUGCUAGAUUAGAUACUAGAAAAUUAGCUCUCGUAUAACAGUUCAUAUUGUUUCUUGAUAAAAUAGUACAACCCCAAUUCCAAUGAAGUUGUGACGUUGUGUAAAACAUAAAUAAAAACAGAAUACAUGGA